AAACUCCUUGGUUAUUCAACUUUGUCCAAGUUCAGCACAUUAUGAUGCUUCUUUUAUGUAUGUUAAAGGAACAAUGUAAGAUGGACUAGAAGCCCAUAAUACAUGAAAAGAUGAUAAAUGUUAUCUCUCUCUUCCACAGAAUUCAAGACUCCAGGACUCUGGAGAAUUAUACCUCGAUACUGAAAGAAUUCGCCCAGUGAUUUCAGAACCAGCAUUAGUAAUCUCUGAGAAAUUAAGUUAAGAAUGAGGUUUCUGGGUUGACAUAUCAGAGGAAUUCUAUGGCAUGCUGUCAUUAAUCACCAUGGUGGAAGAUGAGCUGCCACUGUGAUAAGACUAUCUGAUAAAGGCCCUUGCAAGAUGCCAGCCCUUCAAUUAUGGACUUCCCAGCCUCCACAACUGUGGGGAAAUAAAUUUCUG